rnacentral:rRNA from 1 species
AGAGACAGCAGCCGCCGCGGGAAUACGGAGGGUGCAAGCGUUAAUCGGAAUUACUGGGCGUAAAGCGCACGCAGGCGGUCUGACAAGUCAGAUGUGAAAUCCCCGGGCUUAACCUGGGAACUGCAUUUGAAACUGUCAGGCUGGAGUCUUGUAGAGGGGGGUAGAAUUCCAGGUGUAGCGGUGAAAUGCGUAGAGAUCUGGAGGAAUACCGGUGGCGAAGGCGGCCCCCUGGACAAAGACUGACGCUCAGGUGCGAAAGCGUGGGGAGCAAACAGGAUUAGAUACCCCGGUAGUCCCUGUCUCUUAUAC